rnacentral:rRNA from 1 species
UUGUAUCUCUAGAGCGCGGUGGCCCCAACUCUUCCCAUCCCGAACAGAGUCUUGAAACGCCGUAGCGCCGACAAUAGUUGGGGGCUCUCCCCCCGCGAAGAUAGGUCGAGGUACAAA